ensembl:miRNA
UGUGGGUACAUGUACCCUAUGUGGGUACAUGCAUAUGUGUGUGUAUACACAAACACAUACACACUUAAAGUA